rnacentral:rRNA from 1 species
AGUGAACGCUGGCGGCAUGCCUAACACAUGCAAGUCGAACGGCAGCACGGGAAGUUGCCCCUGGUGGCGGGUGCGGAAGGCGGGUGGGUUACAUAUGGAUAGGUCCCGUAGUGGGCGAGGGGCAGAACGAAGCGGGAUUGAUACUACAACCGAAUAAGGGCUGAGAGCGGGGGCACUGGGGGCCUCGAGCUUUCGGGUUGGCCGGAGGCGGUGUCGGAUUAGCUAGGUGGCGGGGUAAAGGCACACCAAGGCGACGAUCCGUAGCUGGUCUGAGAGGAGGACCAGCCACACUGGGACUGAGACACGGCCCAGACUCCUACGGGAGGCAGCAGUGGGGAAUUUUCGACAAUGGGCGAAAGCCUGAUCCAGCAAUGCCGCGUGUGUGAAGAAGGCCUUCGGGUUGUAAAGCACUUUUGUCCGGAAAGAAAACCUGGGCCCUAAUACGGUCGUGUGCUGACGGUACCGAAAGAAUAAGCACCGGCUAACUACGUG